GAGUAAUGCUAUCCAUUAGCCUAUCAUAUCACCCACUGCAGGCUCCUGACAACCAGCACGAUAAAACCACAUUUCAGCACACUCAAUGCGUCUGGCACUUUUGCCACUCUUCAAUGAUGAUCAUGGCGGGUGCUGUGGGAUAUCACAGAAACACAGGACACAGACCGUGCCUUCAGAGCCCCUUGUCCAGGUGAAUCCUUUAAAAUCUCGGCAGAAAAUGAAAGCAGUAGAAGACGGGCUCUAGUUAUUCGUGU